rnacentral:tRNA from 1 species
GCCUGGCUGGCUCAGUCGGUUAAGCGUCCGACUUCAGCUCAGGUCACGAUCUCACGGUCCAGCCCGUGAGUUCGAGCCCCGCGUCGGGCU